rnacentral:rRNA from 1 species
AUUGAACGCUGGCGGCAGGCCUAACACAUGCGAGUCGAACGGUAACAGGAAACAGCUUGCUGUUUCGCUGACGAGUGGCGGACGGGUGAGUAAUGUCUGGGAAACUGCCUGAUGGAGGGGGAUAACUACUGGAAACGGUAGCUAAUACCGCAUAACGUCGCAAGACCAAAGAGGGGGACCUUCGGGCCUCUUGCCAUCGGAUGUGCCCAGAUGGGAUUAGCUAGUAGGUGGGGUAACGGCUCACCUAGGCGACGAUCCCUAGCUGGUCUGAGAGGAUGACCAGCCACACUGGAACUGAGACACGGUCCAGACUCCUACGGGAGGCAGCAGUGGGGAAUAUUGCACAAUGGGCGCAAGCCUGAUGCAGCCAUGCCGCGUGUAUGAAGAAGGCCUUCGGGUUGUAAAGUACUCUCAGCGGGGAGGAAGGGAGUAAAGUUAAUACCUUUACUCAUUGACGUUACCCGCAGAAGAAGCACCGGCUAACUCCGUG